UACGGAGGGGGCAAGCGUUGUUCGGAAUUACUGGGCGUAAAGGGCUCGUAGGCGGCCAACUAAGUCGGAUGUGAAAUCCCCAGGCUUAACCUGGGAACUGCAUCCGAUACUGGAUGGCUUGAAUCCGGGAGAGGGAUGCAGAAUUCCAGGUGUAGCGGUGAAAUGCGUAGAUAUCUGGAGGAAUACCGGUGGCGAAGGCGGCAUCCUGGACCGGCAUUGACGCUGAGGAGCGAAAGCCAGGGGAGCAAACGGG
rnacentral:rRNA from 1 species